UUUGACGUUAGCGACAGAAGAAGCACCGGCUAACUCCGUGCCAGCAGCCGCGGUAAUACGGAGGGUGCGAGCGUUAAUCGGAAUUACUGGGCGUAAAGACGCAUGCAGGUGGUUUGUUUAAGUUCAGAUGUGAAAGACCCGGGGCGUCAACCUACGGAAUAAGCAUUUGUAAACUAGGCAGACUAGAGUACUGUAGAGGGGGGUAGGAAGUUUCAGGUGUAGCGGUGAAAUGCGUAGAGAUCUGAAGGAAUACCGGUGGCGAAGGCGGCCCCCUCGGACAGAUACUGACACUCAGAUGCGAAAGCGUGGGGAGCAAACAGGAUUAGAUACCCUGGUAG
rnacentral:rRNA from 1 species